rnacentral:rRNA from 1 species
AUUGAACGCUGGCGGCAUGCCUUACACAUGCAAGUCGAACGGCAGCACGGGUGCUUGCACCUGGUGGCGAGUGGCGAACGGGUGAGUAAUACAUCGGAACAUGUCCUGUAGUGGGGGAUAGCCCUGCGAAAGCCGGAUUAAUACCGCAUACGAUCUACGGAUGAAAGCGGGGGACCUUCGGGCCUCGCGCUAUAGGGUUGGCCGAUGGCUGAUUAGCUAGUUGGUGGGGUAAAGGCCUACCAAGGCGACGAUCAGUAGCUGGUCUGAGAGGACGACCAGCCACACUGGGACUGAGACACGGCCCAGACUCCUACGGGAGGCAGCAGUGGGGAAUUUUGGACAAUGGGCGAAAGCCUGAUCCAGCAAUGCCGCGUGUGUGAAGAAGGCCUUCGGGUUGUAAAGCACUUUUGUCCGGAAAGAAAUCCUUGGCCCUAAUACGGUCGGGGGAUGACGGUACCGGAAGAAUAAGCACCGGCUAACUACGUG